rnacentral:rRNA from 1 species
GGUCAGGCGGGACUACCCGCUGAGUUUAAGCCUUAU